GCCUCUGUAACUCAGUUGGUUAGAGCACUGCACCGGAAUCGCAGGGUCGCAGUUUCGAUUCCUGCCAGGGACC